UAAAUUGUUGCUAUGUCAUCUCUUCUGUUUUUCUAGUACCAUCUGCUUCCGGUAUGUCUACUGGCAAGCUGCUUUUGCUACAAAAAGAACUUUGCAGACUUAUUUUUUUUUUAAAACACAACUCUUUUAUAUGAUUGUUAUGGAAACAGCAUGUCAUAUACUCAUCAAUGAAAAGGGAAAACCAGGUUUCACACCUAAAACAGUACCUGUGAAUGGAUGAAGGAUGAGUUAGUGUGUCUCUGUGCUAUCUUUGACUAAUCGACUCAAAAAGAGUUUUUCUGUAUUUUUGUGGAAAGAUGACCCUCACUGUCAGACAUCAGCAGAUUAGUUUCUGUUGCAAAAGGUGACUGGAUAAACAGAUGAUGGUAUACCCAUACAAUAGAAAACCGCUCAGCAGUAAAGAGGAAUGAACUAUAUAGUCCUGUGGUGUGGCUCAGUGAGCAACAAUCCAUGAACCAAAAGGUCACUGGUUCAAUUCCUGGUCAGAGUACAUGCCUGGGUUGCAGGCUCAAUUCCCGGUGUGUGUGUGUGUGGAGGAAGCAGCUCUUCAUUGAUGUUUCUGUCUUU